rnacentral:lncRNA from 1 species
GGUCUCACACGGGAUAGGCAAUCACUUGACUACUGACUGUGUCCCCAGCCAUUUGGUUUUUUGUUUUGUUUUGUUGUUGUUGGUGGUGUUUUGCUUGUUUGUUUGUUUGUUUGUUUGAGGCAGGGUCUUUUUAAGUUAUCUUUGCUACAGCCUAAUUUGCAGCUUCAACCUACCAAUUUGUGCCCAGGAACGAGGACCAGGACUGAGGAUGCCCUCUUUCUGCACAAUGCCUGCACAUGCAGAGUCUCUGCAUUUUGACACCCACAAGCUCCGCAGCUUCCCUCUCCUACUGUGACUCAUCAGCAUUCUCCUUUCCAGUGUUUUGGAGUGGGUGUUGAUGGAGGGGAACGUGGAUUUCCAGAUAGCAUCUCAUGCAGCCCAGCCUGGUCUUGAACUCAUUGUGAAGCCAAGGAAGGCCAUGAACUCCUGAUUUCCUCUUCUACCUUCCAAGUGUGGAGAUUACAGACACACACACCUUUAAUUACAGAACUUGGGAGACAGAUUCGAGUGGAUCUCUGUGAGUUCAAGGCCAGCUUGGUCUGUAUUGCAAGUUCCCAGGCCAAGUAGGGCUACAUAAUGAGAUCCUGGCAAAAAGAAAAGAAAAGUAAGAAGGAAGAGGAGGAGAAGAAGAAAAAGAAGAAGGAAAAAGAAAAGGAGGAGAUGGGGAUAAAGGAGAAGAAGGAGAAGAAGAAGGAGGAGAAAGAAGAGGAGGAGGAAGAGGAAGAAGAGGAGGAGGAGGAGGAGGAGGAGGAAGAAGAAGAAGAAGAAGAAGAAGAAGAAGAAGAAGAAGAAGAAGAAGAAGAAGAAGAAGAAGAAGAAGAAGAAGAAGAAAGCAAGAGCAAGCUCCCUCCACUGCUUUGUGUUUUAAGAGAGAAUGACUGUUCAGUGUCCCUGGAAACUCACCAGAAAGCGAAUCAUUGUGAAGCAGCUCAUGUCUUCUCCAUAAAAAUAACGCUGCCUGCUGUUGAGACUGCCUUCUAGAGGAAGAAUUGGCAUGAGAAGCCAGGCGUGACUGGCGAUGGCACAGGAGCAAAGAACUAUAAACCUUUAUCGUCACUUCAUAUAAUAAACGUAUAAUAUAAUAAACUUAAUAUAAUAAACGUGCGCUCUGAUACCUUUUCAAAUGCCCAGAAAUGGAGAGCGCACCCUGAUUACACAGAAGGCCAUAAAAUGAACAUGCUGCACAUAAAAAAAUUAUACCGUUGUAUAAAUUUUCCUGAAGACUGAUGUAUUAUUUAUGAUAAGCAUUAAUUAAAAGAUUAAUUGCUAAUGUUCUCUGCCCUUGUAGAAGUUAGCAGAAAAAUUAAAGUAGCUUAAAUAUAUUUGGAGAUAA